rnacentral:lncRNA from 1 species
AUGGGGGGUUCAAAGUCAAGACCAUUACCAGGAGAGACACCAAUUGAUUUUAUGUUCAGAAAUAAUCAAGGGUUUUAUGCGGAACCUUUUGUAAGUGAUAUGGCAGGAUGGUCAGAGGGCAUGAAACCACAAAUUGAAACUCCGUAUCCUAGAGAGGGUUCAUUCACUGAUGAGGGUAUGGAAUUGGCUAAAAGUCUAAUUUUUGAGGGGUGGGGCGAUCCCACUUGGGAUUAUAAAUAUAUGACUAAAAGUUAUAAUGUAUGGAAGGAUCUGAAAAAGGUCUGGGAUCAAGGACCAGAAAAGAAAAAGGUACUUGCCUUUGUGGCUCAUCAAAACAGCUUUCCACAAGACAAGCCACCGCCCUACUGCACUCCUCGCCUACCCACAGCGCCACCGCACAACAGUCAUGUUACUGAAAAGUCAGGUACUUUCAAAGAGACAAAGGUAGAGACAAAGGAAACUCCCAAAACUCAGAGUGCAAUGGUGUGGAUGAGAUCGGGAAAUGCGAUAGGGGUGAAACCAGUAAAAAUGACAGAUAUGGAAGCAAUCUGUAAAAGUUUGCCUUCUCCACAGAAUCCUAGUAAAUUUGUAACUAUUCUGCAAUCACACACAAAGUACGCUCAUUUUACAGGUGCUGAUUACAGAGCAGUUCUGGCAAGGACAAUGGAAGGAGAUGUCACUGAGGAAAUGCUGAUUAGUGAAUGCAAAACGCUGGAGUAUGAAAAUGAUCAUAUAUCAGGUUUAGCUACAUCAAAAGGACCACAUGUAUUUUUCUGGGAAAAACAGGAAAAUCAUACUUCUUUCUUUAAGGAGUUGAAAGCAUUCAUAGAGAAGCGUCUAGGCAAUAAACAAGAUUUAUCAUUUGCUGCAAACACAAAGCAGAAGUCUAAAGAAACUGCUUCAGAUUUCUAUCUGAGAUUUAAGAAAGCAUGGGUGGAGGAAUCUAAACUCCCACUUGAUGAUAACUUAAAGGCGUUAUUCAUCAACACAUUUCUGAAUAAUAUGCAUGGAAAACAAGCACAACUGAUUAGAAUCACAACAACUAACUUGUUAGAAAUGACCAUAGAAGCAUUAGGGAAGCGAGUUAGGGAACUAGAUAUUUCUGGAGGGUUUGUGGUCAAAACUGAAACUGCUAUGUUCACUGGGCAAAAACCACAUAGAGGUGAACAUGACCUAAAAGCAGAACUAAAGCACAGAUCAAGUGUUCCAAAAAGAUCUCUGUGGAAAGGAAGGUCAUGUCCAAAGAAAUUGCAGAAAAGGGAGAAGUCAGAAUCGUCCUCAGGGAGAUUCAGUUCAGUGGAAGCCAAGAAUAGAUCACUCUCAGCAGAGAGACAGAGAAAGAUUCAACUCCCCUUAUCCUACUUCUUGGCACAAACCUCAAGGACCACAAUAGGGAUGCCUACAGAGUGA